rnacentral:rRNA from 1 species
CGUAACAAGGUCUCCGUUGGUGAACCAGCGGAGGGAUCAUUAAAGAGUUCUAUAACUCCCAAACCCAUGUGAACAUACCAUACGUUGCCUCGGCAGGUCGCGCCUACCCCGUAGCGUCCUACCCUAUAGGACCUACCCGGUAGACGCGGGUAAGCCUGCCGGCGGCCCAAGAAACUCUGUUUAGUAUUGAAUUCUGAACCUAUAACUAAAUAAGUUAAAACUUUCAACAACGGAUCUCUUGGUUCUGGCAUCGAUGAAGAACGCAGCGAAAUGCGAUAAGUAAUGUGAAUUGCAGAAUUCAGUGAAUCAUCGAAUCUUUGAACGCACAUUGCGCCCAUUAGUAUUUCUAGUGGGCAUGCCUGUUCGAGCGUCAUUUCAACCCUUAAGCCCUCGUUGCUUAGUGUUGGGAGCCUACGCUACCCGUAGCUCCUCAAAGUUAGUGGCGGAGUCGGUUCACACUCUAGACGUAGUAAUUUUAUCUCGCCUAUCAGUUGGACCGGUCCCCUGCCGUAAAACACCCCAAUUUCUAAAGGUUGACCUCGGAUCAGGUAGGAAUACCCGCUGAACUUAAGCAUA